rnacentral:rRNA from 1 species
AUUGAACGCUGGCGGCAUGCCUUACACAUGCAAGUCGAACGGUAACAGGCCGCAAGGUGCUGACGAGUGGCGAACGGGUGAGUAAUGCAUCGGAACGUGCCCAGUAGUGGGGGAUAGCCCGGCGAAAGCCGGAUUAAUACCGCAUACGACCUGAGGGUGAAAGGGGGGGAUCGCAAGACCUCUCGCUAUUGGAGCGGCCGAUGUCAGAUUAGCUAGUUGGUGGGGUAAAGGCCUACCAAGGCAACGAUCUGUAGUUGGUCUGAGAGGACGACCAGCCACACUGGGACUGAGACACGGCCCAGACUCCUACGGGAGGCAGCAGUGGGGAAUUUUGGACAAUGGGCGCAAGCCUGAUCCAGCAAUGCCGCGUGCAGGAAGAAGGCCUUCGGGUUGUAAACUGCUUUUGUCAGGGAAGAAAUCUUCUGGGUUAAUACCUCGGGGGGAUGACGGUACCUGAAGAAUAAGCACCGGCUAACUACGUGCCAGCCGCCGCGGUAAUAC